AUUUUUCCUGUGGGCCUGCGGAGG
rnacentral:rRNA from 1 species